rnacentral:rRNA from 1 species
UACGUAGGUGGCAAGCGUUGUCCGGAUUUAUUGGGCGUAAAGCGCGCGCAGGCGGUGAGGUAAGUCCGUCGUGAAAUCUCCCGGCUCAACUGGGAGGGUGCGGGGGAGACUGCCUGACUGGAGGCACUCAGAGGCCGGUGGAAUUUCCGGUGGAGCGGUGAAAUGCGUAGAGAUCGGAAAGAACACCAGUGGCGAAGGCGACUAUCUGGGCUGCAACUGACGCUGAGGCGCGAAGGCUAGGGUAGCAAACAGG